UGGGCUAGAAUUCCCUCCCCAUCAGAGUGU
rnacentral:piRNA from 1 species